CUUGGAUGGAAGACAAUCGGGAACACUAAGGACAGCACUAGAAGAGAAUUAUACCUGAAACCUAAGAGAUGUUGCCAAUCAGUGUUAGCUGGACCAGUAGUCUAAUGCAGUGAAAAUGAGCUUCUCAUGUUCCUGCGUCUUGAUUAACAUUUCCCAGUUCUCCUUUCCCAGCCUCAGGCAAUCAGCCAGCAGCAUAAAAGCUCAACAUCCCUGCCAAGAUUUUACAAGCCUCCUAUCUCUACCCUGAGGAGUACAUAUCAGAACCCUAAGAGGUACCUUGUGUUGAGAAUCCAAAUAUGAACACCUGACAUCAAAUUCCACUCUGGCAACUGUGAGUUCAAGGGAAAAGCAGCUGACACAAGGAAGUAAGUGAAAGGGAAAGACAUGCUCACUAAGUUAGACGAAGAAGGAAGGACAGCUAAAUGUUGGUCAGUGGGGACUGGAAAUCUGAUAAGCUAUCUACUCCUGAUUAGCACACUCCAGAUGAAAUAAGAGCAGGGUUUAACAAAGAAUGUGGUAUCUUGUCUCAACCAGGGUUAAAUUCAAGCAACAGACUUCUAAAGAAGAUACCAACUCAUAUGUUUUCAACUUCACACUGCUUUUUUUCCCCUUCUCCAUUUUUAGUUGUCUGGAAAUAUGUUUUGCUUUA